ACUGAAAGUCAGAUUGUUUCAAAACAAUUGGCCUUCAAGAAGCGAGAACACAGACAGGUUCCCAUCAGCUCGUUCACGUGAUUUCUGUUGAUAAUCCGACACAUGAACAGGAGUAUCGAUGUGUAACAGAACCGGAAGUGGAAGCCACAGAAUACAGUUGGUACAAGCAAGGCUGGGCUGGGCUUCCAGAAGGAGUGAAGGCAGAGGGAGACAGACUGCAUUUCAUCAAAUUUACCACUGAUCUCAAUGGUGUAUAUAUCUGUGAAGUAACAAACGAGAAAGGUUCUGCAGCAGCUUCACUAUAUCUGCAGCAAAUGGAACCUAAGUCAGAGCUCUAAUAAGGGUAAAUCAAACAUAGGUGCCUACUGGAUACGUCAGACGAAUGUAAAUGCUUUAAUAAGAUGCAAAUAUUUUAGGGCUGCUCUGGUUUUAGACACUGCUAUGAAAUGGAGUUCAGUAGGUUCUAGCUAGACUUAAGGUUCUAUAUUCAUUCAUUGUUUCGUUCAUUAUCUAUCUGUUGCGGGUCGUGGGUGGACUGGAAUCAAUCCCAGCUGAUGUAGGGUGAGAGGCGGGGUACACCCUAGACUUCAAUGACUCACAUGAUGGCAGAGAGAGCCAAUGACCAACAGAUCACUGUAACGACCCUCUAGGCUGCUAACACCAUUCACGUCCAGCCUCCAGUGACCCUAACAACCUACAGGAUGAUCCAGAACGGGAAUUCCUUCAUGCCUGCAUUCACUUCCUGGUUUUCUCUGCUGUUAUAAAAACGCCGUUCUCAGACAGGAACUUUGCCAGAACGUCUUGCUUUGCUUCUAGCCGUUUCUGUGCCUCUGUUAUGUUUCAUGGUUGUUUGCUCAAGCUCAUUUUUCUAUUUCAUGGUUUUUGCACUAAGGGUUUAUUCUCGUUCAUGGUUUUUUGCACAGGUUUUUUUUUUCUUGUUUUUGUUUUUUUUGUCCUUGCCUGUUUCGUGUUUUUGUCUAGUUUUCUGUCUCUUGUUAUCUGGAUUAUUUUUUGCCAUUUGUUUUUGUCCCGUUUGUUUACCCUUGUGCCACGCCCUUUUCCCUGGAUUAAAUCUCUCUAUUUAUUUGAUUACUGUCUGUGUUCUGCUUGUGGAUCCUUAUCCCACCAUACCUCCACGACCCCUAACAUUUCAAGCAAGUCCAGUUGCCUUCUUUAGCACAGACAAUUUACGAUGACCUGGAUGACUGAGAAUCUUCAGACAUUCACCCUGGACAGGUCUCUAGUCUAUCCCAGGGCUAACAUGGAGACAAAUAACUAUUCACACUUACAUUCACACAAGAUAAGGAUUUAAAUAAAUAAAUAAAUAAAUAACCACUCUUGAAAACCAUGGAGAGCAGAAAAGCAUCCCUUAGCAAAAAGUAGUAUACUUAAAGUUCAUUUUAUUAAGUAUGCUUCAGUAUAAGUAUAGCAAGUAUACUACAGACCAUGUACUUUUAGUGUACUAGAAAGUAUACAAAUUUAAUACUUUUUCGGACUAAAUUGGAACAUUUCAAGUUUAUAAAAGUAUACUUUAAAGUUCAUUUUAAGUUUGCAAAAGUACACUCAUCUAUAUACUAUCAAUGUACUUGGUAUAUCCCUCUUGCAUGCUUAAAGUAUACCACAAGUACACUUAUCGAUAUACUUCUUUUUUUGGGCUUUUUUCACCUUUAAUGGAUAGGACAGUGUAGAGACAGGAAAUGAGCAGGAGAGGGAUCAGGAAAUUACCUUGGGUUGGAAUCGAACCCAGGUCCCCAGACUUAUGGUAUGCGCUUUAGUUGACUGAGCCACAACACCCCUUAGUUACAGACUUCAAGUCCCUAUUUUUAGUUUAUUAUUGUAUACUUUAAGUAUACUGUUAUAAACGUUGGUUAUUUCACUAGUUUACUUGUUAUACUUUAAGUUUGCUUGGCAUAUUACUUGUAGCUUACUAUUUAUAUACUGCAAAUAUACUCCUUAAUGUAUUCUUAAAGUUUACUCAUACUGUAUGUACACAAGAGUGUGAUGCAUUUACAAAAUCACAAGACAGAAUGUUGAAAACAAGUUUGAUAUAUUUUCAAACAUUUCAAAAAUAAAGACCUAUGAAAUCAAGUCCUUCCUUACUGGAGAAAUUGAUCAAUAAAGUCAAGUCAAAAGUU